AGUGGUGGGUGGAGGCGGAGAAGGGACCCCGAGGGCCUGAGGAGGUGGUUCGGUUUCUGGUCGGGAAAAGCGGAAGAGUUUCGGAGGCAGCGGGUUCCCGGCGACCUCUGGUGGCAGUCGGGCCUAGUCGAGCCGGCCGCCGCACGACCCAAAUGCGGGAGCUUCAUGUUCCCCGUUGGGAGAUGGGAUUUGGGGUUGUGAUCGGGGCUGCUCCCUGACCGCUGACUCCCUGUCCGGAUGGUUGAGGUCCAGACGCUGCUCACUUCCAGCCGGGAAAAUCCAGCUCCACCCCCAGGUGGUUUGAACUUUGAGCCUCUUAUUGUCCUGAUGAACAGUUUCGCUUUCCUCAAGUUUAAGACACUUGGAACUUCAAGAAUUGGAGGUUUAUGCAAUUUGAGACCGGUCCGCACUGAGCAGAGUUCAGAGGAUUAAGAGACAGUAAAAUGGCUUCCAGAGGAAAGACAGAGACAAGCAAAUUAAAGCAGAACUUAGAAGAACAGUUGGAUAGACUAAUGCAGCAAUUACAGGACCUGGAGGAAUGCAGAGAGGAACUUGAUACAGAUGAAUAUGAAGAAACCAAAAAAGAAACUCUGGAACAACUAAGUGAAUUUAAUGAUUCACUAAAGAAAAUUAUGUCUGGAAAUAUGACUUUGGUUGAUGAACUAAGUGGAAUGCAACUGGCUAUCCAGGCAGCUAUCAGCCAGGCCUUUAAAACCCCAGAGGUCAUCAGAUUGUUUGCAAAGAAACAACCAGGUCAGCUUCGGACAAGGUUAGCAGAGAUGGAUAGAGAUCUCAUGGUAGGAAAGCUGGAAAGAGACCUGUAUACUCAGCAGAAAGUGGAGAUACUAACAGCUCUCAGGAAACUUGGAGAGAAGCUGACUGCAGAUGACGAGGCCUUCUUGUCAGCAAACGCAGGUGCUAUACUCAGCCAGUUUGAGAAAGUCUCUACAGACCUUGGCUCUGGCGACAAAGUUCUUGCUUUGGCAAGUUUUGAGGUUGAAAAAACAAAAAAAUGACAUGGUGUGAAAACUUAGGACAUUGAUCGCAUUCUUGUUGUAAAUGGCAUUUUUCUUCCGGGGAUUCUGAGUCAUGGCAAAGAAGUCAAGAGAUUCAUGAAGUGUAUUAAUAACCUAAGAAAAGGGAAGCAAUUGGAAGUGGCAGCUCGAGGCCCUCCCUGUGUGUGACCUCUUUGCUGAAACCCAGAGGGUGGUGACUGUAAACUACUAUUUACUCUUCAGUUUGGGAGAAACACAGAAUAAGUUAUGAGAAGAAGCCGGUUUCUCUCCUGAGUGUUUAUGUCUCUCUGCAUGCUCAGAUAUAUAGAUUUUUCCCAUAUGCAUGUACGUCACCUUAUUUCCUAGGCUCUGGCCACUUUAUAUUCUUUCACAUUUUUCUCAAUAUUCUUUUUCUUUAGACUUUAUACAAAUUAAAAACAUUUUUAAAGCUU